rnacentral:rRNA from 1 species
AUGGUGGUGGAUGCGCUCGCCACCAUUCUGGAUAAGGCUAAGGAUGCGGGCCAUAUUCGUGGGUUCACCCCCCACCUGGCCGGCGGAUCCGGGAUCUCCCUCCUCCAGUAUGCCAAUGACACCAUCAUCUUGGUCGAAGGCUCUGAUGCGGACAUCUCUAAUCUUAAGUUCCUUCUCCUCUGCUUCCAACAAAUGUAUGGCCUCAAGAUCAACUUCGACAAGAGUGAUGUGAUGGUGAUGGGCUACUCCCCUGCGGAAUCCCUGCUCAUUGCCAACCGGCUCAACUGCCGCAUGGGUUCCUUCCCCACGUCCUACCUGGGAACACCCAUUAGUGACUCGAGGCUCACAGUCACUGACCUUCGUCCGACUGUGGCGAAGUUACAAACGCGCAUCGAGGCUUGGCAGGGUAGGUGGCUCUCGAAGGCGGCUAGGACGAUCCUCAUCAACUCCUCCCUCUCCAGCCUCCUUUUAUUCCUCAUGAGCUUCUAUAGCCUGCACGAGACGCUCCACCAUGAAAUCACCAAGAUCCAGUCCCGCUUCUACUGGGCUGGCGACAAUAACAAGCAGAAGUACCAUAUGGUCAGUUGGCCGGACAUCUACAAGCCUCAGGAACAAGGAGGCCUUGGUAUUAUGUGCUCUAAACACAUGAAUAUUGCUCUCCUAUCCCACUGGCUCUGGCGCAUCUCGCAGGGGCAUGGUGGCCUCUGUUUAGACAUCAUCCGGAAUAAGUACCUGCCUGGUCAACCCCUUGCCUUCUGCCAGCGUUCGGGUGGCUCCCAAUUCUGGCAGUCGGUUGUCCAACUUCUCCCUGUCCUCCGCAUCGGGACCUCUAUCUCGGUCGGAUCUGGGGCGGCUACGAUAUUCUAG